UUGAUUUUAAAUCAGUACCUAUUACAUAUCAUGUGAACGAACUACGGACUUCAUAACGGAAUAACGCUGCUACGCGCUGCGAACUACGUCGUAGUAAAUCUCGAAUUAAAAAUAGAGGUACUAAAAAGUUAAAAAUAAAAUUAAAGAAAAAAAACCUUUUUAAAAACAAGCUUUUAUUUAAAUGCCCUAAAAAGAAAAAA